CCAACAACCAACACCUGAGGUGCGGAACCCAGCGCCCUCCGCACCGGUUUUCUUUAAACCAGCCAGUCCGCAGCUGCGGCCAGGACAACGCACAGUGGCCUUGACGGAGGCGGGGCCCACCAGCCCUCCCUGUUCCGAGGGCCUCGCGGGGACACCCUUCCCCGGCGGGUCUGAGUAAUCCACCACUGCGCUUUCUGAGCUUCCACUGGGCGCCUCCUCUGCGUCUUUCCUGCUCCACGCAGGUCUCUGGGUAGGAAUAACCCGGAUCCGGGUCACAUGAGGGCCACCAAGGGAUUCUGCCCGCACACGCAGUGCUCCGAAGAAAUCUGGAAAAUGAAGAAUGCUUACUGAUCUCCGGGAGCACUCUACAGGGAGAUUCUGCCUUAGCCCACGAUCAUUAUCUUUUGAAGCUGAGACAGAACUUCAAUUUGUGAAGCAACACCUUGAAGAUGCUUUUGUCUCCCUCACUGAUCUUUCUUUACCCAUGUCAUUACUUAUGCUUGCUACUCCCUAUUUGCCAACAAAUAUUAUCACACAAGAUUCUCCUAUUGAAUGGGUUCACCUCUGUCAUAAUCCUUCAAAAUCUUUGUCUCCAUAUUUAGAUCUAAUAUGCACUCUAAUCUUUCAAGGUCGACAUAGAUAUCAAUAAAAAGUUCUACCUCAAGGGAUGUUAAAUUUCACCCACCAUGUGUCAGUACUAUGUUGGAAAGGUUAUACAUCAACUGAGAGGGUUCAAUCCAGAUGUUAUUAUUUUGCCAGUUACUCCUGAAUUAUUUAAACAGUGCUUAGAAAAUAGCAUGGAAGAACAGUCCGCCUUGGCAGAAUAUGUGGGACAAAUCGGGUGCCACUAUCCAGCUGGCAAACUUUGGGAAUUUUUGAAACAGACUCAAUGGAUUUUUACCAACAUGGUCCAAGAUGACCCUAUACCAGCU
ensembl:lncRNA